rfam:Operophtera brumata OBRT01_Sc08722, whole genome shotgun sequence.
UGUUCUAUGGCCAAACUGGUAAAAAGGCAUUGCCGAUCACAGGCAAGGUUGCGGGUUCGAGUCCCGCUGGAACGG